AUAUAUAUCUUUCACAGUGUGCUAGAAGACUUGUCUGAAAGUAUCCUUGCAGUGACCACGCGUAAUGGUUCACAUUGUUUGGAUAUAGUUGGUGCAAAAGACAGUGAUCCAGAAUGGCUGGUGACGCAAAGAAAAACAGAGGUUAAGAUUAUGGAAGGAUGGCUUACAACAUAUUAUGCCGAUCUGAAGGCAUAAAAUAUGGACAAUCGUGGAGUCAAAAUGUACUUAAUUCCUACACUUAUAGUAGGAUUUGAAUUAAGUUCUAAAUUUCCCACUUGAUAAAUAAAGUAAUAUGCUUAUU